rnacentral:misc_RNA from 1 species
GAUGAAGAACGUAGCAAAAUGCGAUACUUGGUGUGAAUUGCAGAAUCCCGUGAACCAUCGAGUUUUUGAACGCAAGUUGCGCCCGAAGCCUUUUGGCCGAGGGCACGUAUGCCUGGGCGUCACGCAUCGCGUCGCCCCCCACAAUUCUCCGUAAAAGGAACAUGUGUUUUGGGGGCGGAUAUUGGUCUCCCGUGCUCAUGGCGUGGUUGGCCGAAAUAGGAGUCCUUUCGAUGGACGCACGAACUAGUGGUGGUCGUAAAAACCCUCGUCUUUUGUUUCGUGCUGUUGCUCGCAAGGUAAACUCUUUAAAAACCCCAAUGUGUCGUCUCUUGACGACGCUUCGACCGCGACCCCAGGUCAGGCGGGACUACCCGCUGAGUUUAAGCAUAUCAAUAAGCGAGGA